GAUGAACGCUGGCGGCGUGCCUAAUACAUGCAAGUCGAGCGAACGGACGAGAAGCUUGCUUCUCUGAUGUUAGCGGCGGACGGGUGAGUAACACGUGGAUAACCUACCUAUAAGACUGGGAUAACUUCGGGAAACCGGAUCUAAUACCGGAUAAUAUUUUGAACCGCAUGGUUCAAAAGUGAAAGACGGUCUUGCUGUCACUUAUAGAUGGAUCCGCGCUGCAUUAGCUAGUUGGUAAGGUAACGGCUUACCAAGGCAACGAUGCAUAGCCGACCUGAGAGGGUGAUCGGCCACACUGGAACUGAGACACGGUCCAGACUCCUACGGGAGGCAGCAGUAGGGAAUCUUCCGCAAUGGGCGAAAGCCUGACGGAGCAACGCCGCGUGAGUGAUGAAGGUCUUCGGAUCGUAAAACUCUGUUAUUAGGGAAGAACAUAUGUAUAAGUAAAUGUGCACAUCUUGACGGUACCUAAUCAGAAAGCAACGGCUAACUACGUG
rnacentral:rRNA from 1 species